AAAAUUAGAAAAUUCUAAAAUUUUGAAGUAAUCUCCCUUAUCUCUCAUAAAAUCGCACAGAGAGCCAUUCUCUCCCUCCUUCUCUCUAACCCUAGACACAACCACCGUCAAUUCACAACGAUGUCUUCUUACCCUUUCCUUCUUCCUUGCUCCAGAUUUGUGACCUUCUUCGAAGCUAUCUUAUCCUCCCCCACCUGGUACUACCACAGUCGAAAUCGAUGAAACCCUACCGGCCCUUCAUCAUCAAAAAUCAACGCCUCCAUCAACAAGCUAGGGCUUUUAUGGGAGACCUCCACAAAAUUAAUCAAGUUUCAUCCUCGCCGUAUCGGUGACUCCUUACGCUCACACACGCCUAUGCCGACGACUGUGACUUCUUACACUCACGAUGUUGGCGAUUGGGGCUCUAAGUCCUGGAUCCACCUCCUGUCAACCCUACUCCAUCUACUAUGACUACCAGGCCCGACCUAGGGCAUGGGCAGGUUGGGCAAUGGCCGAGGGCAUCAUUCCUGAGGUGGCAUAAUGUAACUCUGGUCUGCUCCGGUAGCUAUAUGUGAUAUUUUCAGCCCACUGUGCUCAAAGCCCUCAAUUUCGUAUCUGAUUGGCUUGAAGGCGGUAAACCAAAAAUGAGAAAGAGGAAGGCAACAUUAUCGGGGCCUAUAGAGAAGAAAACGAGACGAAUCUUUUGGAAGAUUUUGUUGCGUAGCAUCGAUUGGGUGUUUGACUACAUUCUUCAUGCAAAUAUCGAAGUACAUAGGCAUCGAUUGGCCAUUUUAUUGCAAAGCAACGGGAGAGCCGAUCAGCCAAAGACAAGGACGAUUAUGCCAUUUCCAUUGAAUAGUUGAAGUUUCACUUGCAGUUGGGUUUUUUUUUUGCCCUUUGGCUUGGAUUCUUGGAAGACAAAUUUGUUUUGUAGUCUUGAACAUGUGGUGUUUUGCUGGUGUUUUAGUUGAGGUUUGGCCUUCGGUUGCCUAGAGUUCUGACUUCUGAGAAUGACAUCUGCUAGUAAUUAAUGUCCUUUGAUUCUCUAUGGCUAUGAAUGUGUUGAAGGAACACAUAAAGAUUAUCCGACCCUUUCUUGAAAAUCUGCAGGUUGCUUUCUUGAUUAUCUUUUGAUGUCACUUCUCUCUUAUGCAAGGAAUAUCUUAUAUAGGUUCAUCCUGCCUUAGAUGGGAAGACACCUGAUUUGGACAAUAUGGAACCCUCGAUGAAAGAAGAUGCUCAGAUUCCUUCACCUUACAGCAACAAAAACGAGUAUUUACAUAAAACAAUUAUAUGUGUUAUUUUCUGCUUGUUCUUUCCAUGCUUGAUUAUCAUCUUUAUAUCUGUGACUCUUGUUACAUGCUGAUAGUUUGAAUGUUGUUUGAUUUCAAAAAAGAUAAAUGUCAAUUAUCUUUAUUUUCUAAUUUAAUUUUCUUUUCUACUUCUUCAAUAUAUUGUUAUUUGAUGAAUUUAGGUGGGAACCGUUCUCUUGAGUUGUGCUUUUUUGUAUGACACUUUCUGGCUGUUUGUAUCAAAAUGGAUGUUCCAUGAAAGUGUGAUGAUAGUGUGGUGAAGAUGGGAUUCUGAUGCUGCUGAAAAUCCCUCGGAUGUUUGAUCCAUGGGUGGCUACAACAUCAUUGGAUUUGGGGAUAUCAUUUUACCAGGAUUAUUAGUAGCCUUUUACCAGAUACGAUUGGUUGUCCAACAAGAGCCUUCGAGCCGGUAUUUCUCGUGGACAAUGAUUUCUUACAGAUUAGGAAACUAGAAGCGAGGAGCUACAUAAUGAUGUUUCAUAGGUGCUCCCUGGUUAUAAACAGGUAUGAAUAUGAUUUACACUUCCAGUUCACAUUGUAUCCAAUUAUGGAGAGGAUAUUUGGCCCCAUAGUAGUAGCUAUCGAUUUGCAGCGGACUGAGUCGAUUCGUCUCCACCACCAUUCCACCACGAAGACUCAAUAGUCCCUAUAUUGCUCAAUUACAUUAAUAUUAGAAACAAUAUGGUCUUCAAAUGGAAUAAGCAAUGCAAGGGUAUGUUGGUCAUUAAUCAUAAUGUUGAGCUUGGGCUUGAAGUGAAGUAUUUUUAGCCAUGUUGCAGUAGAAUAAGCAGGGGACUUUUUGAGUAUUGUGUGCAUUGUGCAAUUGAGAAAAUAAUGUAUUUUUUUGUAUUCUCUAUUGGUUCUUAUUUGUCAUUCUCAACUUAUUGUUUACUUUUUUUGUCAGUUUUUCUCAUGUUCCUGUGGAAACUUUGGUCAUUUAGUUUAAUUUUUUAGAUUAAAUCAUGAAGCAAUUGAAAAAGCCUAGUACAUUGAAGUCUGGUGAAGAAUGAAAAGUAAGUAAAAGACUCUUAGGUGUUACAUUUAGUUUGUUUUUUAGUUAUCUGAUAGGCUGAUAUAAUGAUAUAUUUAUUAAUUAUUGAUUUUAUUUGGGUAAUACGUUGCUAUGAUAAGUGAAAAUAUGUUGCUGUUUCAUUCAUCUAGCCUAUGAUAAGUGAAAAUAUACGGUUCCUGCAUUUAUAAACAGAGGAUAUGAAGAGGAGCGUGUGUGUGUUGAUGAUCUCUUGUGAUUCCAAGAAAGUGAAAGUCCUUACUUUGAAGAUUGAUUGUGAAUUGAAUUGAAUUAAAUUGAUUUCUAUUACAGUUACAAAUCAACCAGUCUAUCAUAUUCUGCAACUCUGUAAACCGAGUAGAGAUUUGUUUACAAGGGGUAUAGAUAUUCAAGCCGUGAAUGUUGUAAUGAAUUUUGACUUUCCAAGGAACGUCGAGACGCAUUUGCACAGGGUGGGACGACAGCUGGCAAUCGGUAGGGUGUUGUGAUGUCAAGAAACUCUGGAUACUCUGAACAGGUCGUGGAACUUGAUUUUCUGUACCCGAGCGAAGGAAUACACAGGAGAUGGGAGAGUGGGUACAAGAUAACAUCUAUGGCUACUACAGCUGAUCAAGCUGCUUUUAUACUCAGUAUUCCAAGACGCAAAAUGAUGGAUGAGACUCAAGAUACUUUAAUAACAUCUACAUUUCCAAGCACUCAUGUUAAGGUAAUCAAUCUACUUUUUGGAUAAGAAAGUAUAAGAAUCUCAAAUAAGGACUAGAAUUGGUAAAAUCAGGUGCAACAAUGUGAUUUACUCUUGUAAAAAAUAAAAAGGAUGUUUGUUUGGAAUGGAAAUGAAUUAUUGUUUGUGGGUUGUUUUUGGAAUAAAAAUGAUGUUUGUUAGGAAUGGAAAUUGGUAAAAUCUCUGUUAGUUCAUUCUCCACCAAGUAUUCAAGGGUUUAAAGCCUUGGUGUUGGACAGAAAAAAGAAGCAAGAGGCUGCAUGGAAUGAACAGGUAUCUUUCAAAGUUACCUCUAUCAUGUCUUUGUUAGUUCAUUGUCCACUAAUUACCUCUAUCAUAUAUGAAUGUUUGUUUUCUUUUUUCCUUUUUUAGAUAUUCAAUGAUGAACUUACACUUGAUAAUAUCAGCAGGCCUAGUUUAGUGAAUAUGUGCAAGUGUAUAGGAAUCCAACCCUAUGGGACAGAUGCUUACCUGCGAUACAUGCUUCGCAAAAGAUUGAAAUGGUGAGCUUUUGUUCUUAUUUAAUACUAGUAAUAAUAAGCAUAAAAUACCAUUUUGCCCCUACAGUCCAAAACUGGUCUAGGACCACUCAUUGCUUAGGAUGGUAACUGGGUUGUCUUUUCAUGCCCUCCUUUGAUACACCAUAAAGGCAUGAAGAUUCUCUCGUUCUCUCUCUCUCUCUCUCUCUCUCUCUCUCUCUCUCUCUCUCUCUCCCCCAAUUCUAAAACAAACAGCAACAGGUAAAUAGAUGCCAACAUUUUACUUAAAAUUCUAUGAACAUUGAAAAAAUGAGGUCGAUAGUGCCUUUUUCAUGAGGUUGUCAAAAGUUGAAUAAAAUAAAAAAAUAAGCAAGGGUAAUAUUGUAAUAGGGAGGGUCUUAAUACAUAAAGUGACCAACCUCUCACUUAGCCCGACAAGUCAUUUUAAUUUUAUUAAGUAAAAAAGAAACAACCUUAUCUAUCUACAUGCAUUUAGUCAUGUACUGCUGUCCCACAAUUUGUCAUCAUAGAAGAAGACCCUACUGUCCCACAAGGGUAAUAUUGUAAUAGGGCUGCUUUAUAUGUCAUCAUAGAAGAAGACACUGCUGUACCACAAUUUGUAACAAUUUGUAUUAUCAUUACUUGAUUUUAAUAAUAAUUUGUUUUGUUUUUAUUGUUGAGGUUAUAGACUGAUAAUUUUAGGGCAGUUGUUGGUUUUCCUCUUGGUGAUCCAUCAAUGAAGUGGCCAACAUCAUGUAAUAACAUUUUAGUGGAAGAUGUAGGUAUAUGUUUUUUUAAUGAAUAAUGUAAUCAUAUGUAUGAAUAUGAAAUAAAGUUUGUUAUUUGUAUGACAAUAAAUUUUAUGUAAUGGAUUGUAUUUUUUGUA